UCCCUUGCAUCAUAUCUCCUACUUUUAGAAGGACGCUCAUCACUACCAUGCCUUGCAGAAUAAUUAUCCUCUUCAUCUCUCAUGUGCUUUCUUCCACCACGCUCUCUCUCAUCUCUGUCAUGCCAUCUCUCUUCACGUGCCCUUGCAUCUCUCUCGGGCCGUAUCUCUUCACGUGCCCUCACAUCUCUCUCGGGCCGUAUCUCUUCACGUGCCCUCACAUCUCUCUCGGUCCAUCUCUCUUCACGUGCCCUCACAUCUCUGUCAGGCCAUCUCUCUUCAAGUUCCGUCUCAUCUCUGCCAUGCCGCUUUUCUUCAUGAUCCCUUUCAUCUCUGUCAUGCCGUCUUCCUUCACGAUCCCUAUUAUCUCCGUCACGCCCUCUUCGUUCACGCUCCCUUUCAU
rnacentral:lncRNA from 1 species